UGUGGAGUCCAGAUCCCACACUAAAAAACGGGGCGCACCCGAAAAGCCUUAUGAGUAGGAAA
rnacentral:ncRNA from 1 species